GAUGAAGAACGUAGUGAAAUGCGAUACGUAAUGUGAAUUGCAGAAUUCAGUGAAUCAUCGAAUCUUUGAACGCACAUUGCGCCCGCUAGUAUUCUGGCGGGCAUGCCUGUCCGAGCGUCAUUUCAACCCUCAAGCCCCCGGGCUUGGUGUUGGGGAUCGGCGAGCCUCCGCGCCCGCCGUCCCCUAAAUCUAGUGGCGGUCUCGCUGUAGCUUCCUCUGCGUAGUAGCACACCUCGCACUGGGAAACAGCGCGGCCACGCCGGUAAACCCCCAACUUCUGAACGUUUGACCUCGGAUCAGGUAGGAAUACCCGCUGAACUUAAGCAUAUCAAUAAGCGGAGGA
rnacentral:misc_RNA from 1 species